GCCGCUGUAGCUCAGUGGUAGAGCGCACCCUUGGUAAGGGUGAGGUCGCGGGUUCAAAUCCCGCCAGCGGCU
rnacentral:tRNA from 3 species